rnacentral:lncRNA from 1 species
AGUUAAGGAGGCAGUAAAUAGAUAACAUUGUCGGGGGCUGCUAUAACAAAUUGCCACUCAAGUGGGUGGCUUAAAACAAUAGGAAUUUCAUCUCUGAAAUCAAGCUGUUGGUACAGCUGCAUUGUCCCCAGAGGCCCUGGACAUGAAUUCAUUCUUGGCUUUUCCACCUUCUGCUGCUGUCAGCAUUCCCUUCCUCGUGACCACUCCAUUGACCGUUUCUAUGAUCACACAGUCUUCUCUUAUUCUGUCAAAACUCCCUCUGCUUCAGUUUAUAAGGAUGUCAAGUGGCUUUACCCACCAAGAUAAUCAGGGCUGUGCAGUAUCUGAGGAUGGCCAUGAAUCCAGUGCCGUGAAAAUGUUAUGCAGUUGAUGGAUCAAGUCUAGGAGACUGAAUGAAGUCCAUCAUGCUUCCUCAACACAUAGGGAUUGCUUCACAACCAGAAAGAGCUCUUAAUUUUGCAGGGAACUAUGGCUGACAAAAGGAUCUAGAUAUUGAAGUAUCAUACCAUCCAGAGGAAACUGAGAGACUCAACUGCAGUUCAGGUGUCCAUCUCUUCUAAGAUGCCAAAGACACACUGAUAUGUUUGUGUUUGUUGACUUCUUUCUUUCCAUACCCCUGAAGAUCAUACUAUAUUUGCAAAUGUGAAAGAUUAGCUUGUCUCUUUUGUUAUAGGCCAGUUUCAAGUGUGCAACAAAGCCACAAAGAUUGACCUUGGGUAACUCAAAAUUACUGACAAUAAGUUUAAAGAUCAUCUCAAGCAGAAUGACUAUGGUAGUUGAUUAAGUAUUGCUAUUGUGUGCUCAUUCUUAAUAUUUAGAUACUCAAUGUAUGACUUUAUAUUAUAGUGCUGAAUGUAUUGACUCUAGGCUAGUAUAUAUUUCUGACAAAUAAAAUUUCACUCAAAAGGCUCCAAUAAUGUUUAAUUUCAGAUAGCAGCGAUAAUUCCAGCUAGUUUAUGAAGAAAGGGA